rnacentral:rRNA from 1 species
CCUACGGGAGGCAGCAGUGGGGAAUCUUGCACAAUGGAGGAAACCCUGAUGCAGCCAUGCCGCGUGUGUGAAGAAGGCCCUAGGGUUGUAAAGCACUUUCAGUAGGGAGAAAGGCUGUAAGGUUAAUACCCUUGCAGAUUGACGUUACCUACAGAAGCAGCACCGGCUAACUCCGUUCCAGCAGCCGCGGUAAU